GUUUGUUUUCCCCACCUUUCACGAUGCCACAGCGGUCCAGUAAUUGGUUGAGCAUGAACUGGUUGGAGUGCCAAUGAUGCGUGACCAUGCCCAAAUUGUGUCCUCAACUCGUCGCAUUUCUGCCAACUGCCAUUAAACUGUAAGAACUGGUGUGAUGGAAGUCAGUUGAUGAUCUUUGGGACUUCCAUGGAUUAUCCAUUUCCACUUCCUUUGAUGUAAUCGUCUCUCUACCAAUUUCCCACCCUGUAAAGACAUGAAUAUUAUGAACAAAUGGCAUAUAUGGUAUUGCAAUAAUUCUUACUUGCGACUUUCUUAGGCUUUCUGAGGUUACUUGUAUAUAUUUGACUUUUUGCUACUUGAAUAUAGCAGGUGUAAUCCAUGUCCAUUCUAUAAGAUUCCAUGAUCCAGAAAAAAAGGUUUAAAACACGAAAUGAUGGCAAGUAGAAUGUUUACAAUGCUGCUUCCAAAUUGUUUGUUGUAUAGUUCUCCACAUUAAGAGUUCAUUGCUUUUAUUAUAUUCCAAAGGCAAAGUUGUCAAAAAUUGACACGAUUUGUGAUAGAAAUCUAAAGUUUUAAUAUGGUACCUUGGUCAAAAGAAACAAAGAACUGGAGUAAUCUCCACUCAAGCCAUUAAUGGUGUAUCCUGUUGAUGGUAUCAGUAAAGCAUCUUCUGCCAUACCUGCUGUCCAUAUAUGCUUCUUCCAUGAUGGCUUUGAGCUCUUGUCAUAUUCAUAGAGAUUGCCUGUUGAGCUGCAUUGUAGUAUCAUAUUCAGCAUGAUCCCUUAAUCUCUAAUAUAUCCAUAGUAUACUUUGAUACAUGCGGCUCUCUUGCUCAUUCUCAUAAAUGGGGACAGCAACACAUUUUUAGAAGUUCUCAAGUAAAUCGAACUAUGGCCUUCUCCAAUCUCCAAUUUUUAAAAUGAUAGUUUAACACUGCAUACUACUUUGUUUCUUUUAGUAAGAUCAUUUAUUUUCCAGUCUCUUGAAAUUACAUGAUUAGGUGAUGCUUUGAGUCAGCCAGCUCCCAAGAGAUUGAAUUAUGGAUUUGUUGAGUUGAAUUGAUUUUGAUAGAACAUAUUAUUCAUAUUUGUUUAACAUUCACACAGCCUAGCCUAUUAUGCUGCAGAAUGGGGGGAGAGAGUGAGAUCACCUUAUGGUAUAUGCUACUUCCGGUCUAAUAGUACCAGCAUCAGCAAUUGCUGCAACAUUUCCACCUGGUGGUCGUCCAUGAUCUAACCAUCUGUUCUAUGUUUAUAGCACAAACGCCGAAGUGAAUAUUAGAGUCUCCCCAUCAGAAUCUACACAGUAAAUAUAGACUGAAAUUCAAAAAUAAGGCACUAGUUUAUCUUCUGUUUUUACUUGUAUAAAUAUGAAGUUUUACCUUGGAGGAUCAACCUCAGUCAGUUCUAAUAACAGUCCCUUCCUUGUGCAGAAAUAAAUUCUCCUGGUAGGCAAUACAACAAAAUCAGUGUAAUAUCUUCAGUUUAUGCUGUAAUAGAAUGUGAUACACUCUUCUGAUUUGUAUAGUUCACUACAUGAAAUUCUAAAACUGAAAUGCUGCACUCACAUCCCAUCAUGUGAAACAACACCAGACUUAAUUAGGAUCACAGAAGUUUCUUCUGCUUCUUUAUUUGUGCUUGAAUCAGGAGUUGGCUUGAGUACGACCCAAAUUGGCUGUGAGCUCUCACUGAGUUGCAUCUGAGAACAAAAAGAGAGAAGAAAAUCAGUAAAUACAAGCAACAAUAAUAUCCAUGCAACGGCAGAAUAAGGUGAAUUCCUUCUGCCUUAUGGAAGAAAAGAUCAAAUGAUAUUGUUAUUGUGGAGCCAUCGUGGAAGUCCUCUGUGGGUUGACUCCAAGUUCAUAGCUAAGAAGUUUUCUAGAGUUAUCACUUAUCAGUGGAGUUAAUACACAAUGAAUCUUGUGUUUAUGAUCCUUCGUGGCCCACAUAUGGACACGAGUAUCUCUUUCUUUUGUCAAAGAUCAAUACCAUAACCUGCAUUGCAGGAUGCCAACUGCAGGGCCCGCACGAGGUUGCAACUUGCAAGGACAACAGCCUUGGUACUGUAGCCAAACAAGUGGACGGUCCUGCAGCCUUUGCUUUUGAACAGCGGAAUCUUUGAGUGGGCAACGCGAAGCGUUGAAAGAAUCUUCACUAAUGUGGCUUUCAAGAUUUUUUUUUUUUAAGAAGAUUCUAAACUCUACUCAUUGUAAGAUGGACAGAACUUAAGUUUCUGAUUUGCAUUAAUUUUUUGAGUA